GGGCCUACGGGGGGCAGCAGUGGGAAUAUUGCACAAUGGAGGAAACUCUGAUGCAGCGAUGCCGCGUGAGGGAAGAAGGUUUUCGGAUUGUAAACCUCUGUCUUAAGGGACGAUAAUGACGGUACCUUAGGAGGAAGCUCCGGCUAACUACGUGCCAGCAGCCGCGGUAAUACGUAGGGAGCGAGCGUUGUCCGGAAUUACUGGGUGUAAAGGGAGUGUAGGCGGGAUGGUAAGUUAGGUGUGAAAUGCGGAGGCUCAACCUCCGAGCUGCACUUAAAACUGCUGUUCUUGAGUGAAGUAGAGGU
rnacentral:rRNA from 1 species